CUAAGGAGAAAACAAAAAGAUCUCUAACCAAAAAUCCCAAGUCAACCUCAUCUCCAGGAUCCGAAUCUCCACUACAAACUAAAGUCCUCAUCCUAAAGGGUUCAACUCAGGAAAGUGGGGCCAAAAAAUCUAGCCAUCCUAUAUUUAUACUGAGAUAGAAAAUUCAUGUGACCCAUACUCAAAGUUAGUUGGAGGCGAGUGGAAAUAUCUACAAAGACUGACACCA
rnacentral:lncRNA from 1 species